rnacentral:rRNA from 1 species
UGUACCAUAUGAAUAAGGAUCGGCUAACUCCGUGCCAGCAGCCGCGGUAAUACGGAGGAUCCGAGCGUUAUCCGGAUUUAUUGGGUUUAAAGGGAGCGUAGGUGGAUUGUUAAGUCAGUUGUGAAAGUUUGCGGCUCAACCGUAAAAUUGCAGUUGAAACUGGCAGUCUUGAGUACAGUAGAGGUGGGCGGAAUUCGUGGUGUAGCGGUGAAAUGCUUAGAUAUCACGAAGAACUCCGAUUGCGAAGGCAGCUCACUAGACUGUCACUGACACUGAUGCUCGAAAGUGUGGGUAUCAAACAGGAUUAGAUACCCUGGUAGUCCACACAGUAAACGAUGAAUACUCGCUGUUUGCGAUAUACAGUAAGCGGCCAAGCGAAAGCAUUAAGUAUUCCACCUGGGGA